ACCCCUUCUGUGCCGGAGUUAACGCAAUAAGUAUCCCGCCUGGGGAGUACGGUCGCAAGACUGAAACUCAAAGGAAUUGACGGGGGCCCGCACAAGCGGUGGAGUAUGUGGUUUAAUUCGACGCAACGCGAAGAACCUUACCAGGGCUUGACAUUGAUUGAAACCUCUAGAGAUAGAGGCCUCUCUUCGGAGACAAGAAAACAGGUGGUGCAUGGCUGUCGUCAGCUCGUGUCGUGAGAUGAUUGGGUUAAGUCCCGCAACGAGCGCAACCCCUGUCCUGUGUUGCCAGCGCGUAAAGGUGGGAACUCACAGGAGACUGCCGCGGAGAACGCGGAGGAAGGCGGGGAUGACGUCAAGUCAUCAUGCCCCUUAUGACCUGGGCUACACACGUACUACAAUGGGAUGUACAGAGGGCAGCGAAGCCGCGAGGCGGAGCGAAUCCCAGAAAACAUCUCCCAGUUCGGAUUGCAGGCUGCAACUCGCCUGCAUGAAGUCGGAAUCGCUAGUAA
rnacentral:rRNA from 1 species